UAGGGAAUCUUCGGCAAUGGGGGCAACCCUGACCGAGCAACGCCGCGUGAGUGAAGAAGGUUUUCGGAUCGUAAAGCUCUGUUGUAAGAGAAGAACGUGUGUGAGAGUGGAAAGUUCACACAGUGACGGUAACUUACUAGAAAGGGACGGCUAACUACGUGCCAGCAGCCGCGGUAAUACGUAGGUCCCGAGCGUUGUCCGGAUUUAUUGGGCGUAAAGCGAGCGCAGGCGGUUUAAUAAGUCUGAAGUUAAAGGCAGUGGCUUAACCAUUGUUCGCUUUGGAAACUGUUAAACUUGAGUGCAGAAGGGGAAAGUGGAAUUCCAUGUGUAGCGGUGAAAUGCGUAGAUAUAUGGAGGAACACCGGUGGCGAAAGCGGCUCUCUGGUCUGUAACUGACGCUGAGGCUCGAAAGCGUGGGGAGCAAACAGG
rnacentral:rRNA from 1 species